CCUACGGGUGGCUGCAGUGGGGAAUAUUGCACAAUGGGCGCAAGCCUGAUGCAGCCAUGCCGCGUGUGUGAAGAAGGCCUUCGGGUUGUAAAGCACUUUCAGCGGGGAGGAAGGCGGUGAGGUUAAUAACCUCAUCGAUUGACGUUACCCGCAGAAGAAGCACCGGCUAACUCCGUGCCAGCAGCCGCGGUAAUACGGAGGGUGCAAGCGUUAAUCGGAAUUACUGGGCGUAAAGCGCACGCAGGCGGUCUGUCAAGUCGGAUGUGAAAUCCCCGGGCUCAACCUGGGAACUGCAUUCGAAACUGGCAGGCUAGAGUCUUGUAGAGGGGGGUAGGAUUCCAGGUGUAGCGGUGAAAUGCGUAGAGAUCUGGAGGAAUACCGGUGGCGAGGGCGGCCCCCUGGACAAAGACUGACGCUCAGGUGCGAAAGCGUGGGGAGCAAACAGGAUUAGAUACCCGUGUAGUC
rnacentral:rRNA from 1 species